UUUGCUUCCAUGCCAGAGGGAAGGGGAAGGACAUCCCCCCAGUCUGUGCCCAGCAAGAUGGCAGUGGCAGCAGGGUUGUCCUGCAGCUGGGGGCCAUGCUGGGCUGGGAGAUGGAGAAGGAGAGAGGGGGAAAGGGGCAGUGACUUCUUCCUCACCUGCCUAGGUAUUCUGGAGCAUCUUACCCACAGUCUUCUCCAUCCAGCCAAGGCUUGGGAAUGACAAAUUCUGUUUUGGGUGAAAAAAAUCAAGGCACCCUACCUGUGUGUAUAGACUGGGACAGUAGAAGCUGGAGAGCAGCUGCCGCAAGGGGCCUGGCGAUCCUGGUCGCUGCCCAUGCGGAUCUGAGUCAGCCGUGCCCUGGAAGCCAGGAGGGCCGUCCGUGUGCUGGAUGGGUGGCACCAAGUUCUGCUGGUGGGCUUCUGAAGUGAAUGUCAGUGCCUUUUCUCGGGAAGUACAACACCUGGGCCCAUUGUUGCUGUGCUGGUGAUGGCCGCCCAGGGGAGGGAAAGAGGGAAAGACCGGCAACAGCUUUCUGUCCUGGCACCUUUCAUGUGGGAGCAAUUCCUGGGCUUACUCAAUUGUGGGAGGUGAGCUCAGGAGGAGGUAAGAGCGAUCUCAAUAACCCACCAUCAAAAUUAGGAGCCCAGUUCCAUGGUCAGCCUCAGAGCUGGGGCAGUUCUCAUGCACAGGAGACACUCCAGGAAUGCCCCUCAUUUCCCCCCGCCUCCGCUCACCUUAUGCAGGUAGAGGAAGGGUGAUGAACCCAAGCAUUAAUCCCCCCACCCCUGUUGCCAUCUGACUGCAGCUGCACCCUGAGCGCCCCAGGGAACUGUUCGUAGAGGUAAGGGAGGAUGUCAUGAGACCCCCCCCUUCACACCAUCUCAUUUCCUCUUUUCCACCCUUCUCCUAUGCCUUUUCCAUAGUACCUUCAAGCUCCCUGAACUCUGUUUGAGGUCCCAGCUCCCUCCCAUUCCCCACAUCAUGGAUCUGAGCUCCCCUAAGAGCUCCUUACCUGUCAGCAAUGGAGAGAGACGGGGAGACUGACUCAAUGAUCCGAAUCCAAUUUUAUUGUGGGAUACAAGCACUUAUAUACUAUUUUAGGGAGACUAGUAAUGUGUUCUACAAUGAUUAGGUUGAAAUCACAUAUACAAACAUGGAUAUAACAACAUCUCUUGCUUGCAGAGUUUAAUAGGAUUUUCUUUUUCCAGUAAACCUGUCUAAUUAAAUCUUCUUGCUAUCUACGUCUAAUUUUCAAAGUUCCGUUUGCUUUUGCCAAGGCAUCCUGUUAUCAAAUCUCUUAUGUUAACCAGGUCCAAAGUCCAUCAUCUGUCUUGUGUCCCCCAACAUUCCAGUACUUACCCACACCUGGAUGUGCUCCCAGUACCACCAGUACCAUGUACAGCCCCAGCUCCCAGAAAAUGGAAAGGAAAGAGGUGAUUGGUGACAGUCAACAUGGCUUUGUAAAGGAGAAAUCAUGCCUGACAGAUUUGGUGACCUAUGGCCAGCCUACAGCAUUGAUGGAUGGGGCAGAGCAGCUGAUGUUUUCUGUCUAAACUUGUGCAAAGCAUUUGACACUGUCCCUCACAACAUCAUUGUCUCCAAAGUGGAGAGACAUGGAUUUGAUGAAUGGAGCACUUGAUUGAUAAAGAACUGUCUGGAUGGCUGCAUGCAAAGUGUUGUGGUCAAUGGCUCAUUGUCCAUGUGGAGAAUAGUGACGAGUGGAGUCCAUACUGGGGCCAGUACUAUUCAGCAUCUAUGUUGGUGAUGUGGACAGAGAGAUUGAGGCACCUGCAGCAUGUUUGCUGAUGAAACUGAGCUGUGUGGUGCAGCACACACUGGAGGGAAGGGGUGGGCAGUCCAGAGGGCCCUUGACAGGCUUGAGAGGUGGGGCUGAUGAAAACCUCAUGAAGUUCAACAAAGCAAAGUGCAAGGCCCUGCACCAGAGUCAUGGCACUCCCAAACACACCAACAGGCUGCAUGGAGAAACAAUCAAGAGUGGUCCUGUGGAGAAAGGCUUCCUGGUGAUGGUAGACGCAAAAGUCAGCAGGUGCUGGCAGUGAGCACUCCCAGCCCAGAAACCAAUUGAGUCUUGGGCUUCAUCCAAAGGUCCGUGGCCAGCAGAUCGAGAGAGGUGACUUUGCCUCUCUACUCUACUGUGAGACCCCACCUGGAAUCCUGAGCACAGGUCUGGUGUCCCCAACAUGAGAAGGAUUUAGAGCUGUCAGAGAAAGUAAAGAGGACGUCAUGAAGUUGGUAAGAGGAUUGGAGCAUCUUCUCUAUGGAGAUAGGCUGAGAGAGCUGGGGCUGUUUAGCCUAGAGAAGGUGAGGUCGUGUGGAGACCUCAGAGCACCUGUGCUGGUUCUGGCUGGGGUGGCUCAGUUUCCUUUGCAUGGGUGGUGGUGGAGCUGUGUUUGGGGUUGUGCUGAACACAGGGCUGAGAACACAGACGUGGGUUUGUCCUUGCUGAGCUUGGCCAGAGCUGAGGCCUUUCCUGCCCCUUAUAUGGCCACAGUGGAGACGGAGUGGGGGUGCAUGGGAAGCUGGGAGGGGUCACAGCCAAGACAGGUGAUCCCAUCUGACCCAAGGGAUAUUCCAGACCUUAUGGCAUCAUACUCAGGAUAGAAAGUAGGGGGAAGGGGGAGGAAGGGGGGGACAUUUGCAGUGGUGGCAUUUGUCUUCCCAAGUCACCAUUCCAUGGGAUGGGGCUGUGCUGUCCUGGAGGCACUGAGCACCUGCCUGCCCUUGGGAAGCAGUGAAUGAAUUAUUUGUUUUGAUUUGCUUGUGUGAUGGUUUUUGCUUUCUGUAUUAAACUGUCUUAAUCUCAACUAACAAGUUUUCCAGCUUUUACCCUUCCAAUUCUCUCCCCAGUCCUGCUGGGGGAAGCAUGAGCUAGCAACUGUGAGGGGUUUUGAAGCUGGAUGGGGUUAAAUCACAGCACUGCCCAAGGUAUUUUUUUACUGAGAAAUACUACAAGUGUUAAGCAGUAGAUGGCAAAUAUCUGUUUGGGAUGGACUUCAGAGAUCAUUCCUUCCAAAUAAGAAAGAAAUGGGAAGUGAAGAGCAGUGUCAGCCAUCACCUUCCAGGCAUGUGGAGAACCCAGGCUACAUAUUUUGGCAAGUAACACCCUUGCAAAGGCCCAUGGUUUGCAGGACUCUAAGCAGUAACAAUGCUUUAGAGCAUUUGCAUAAAUGUAUAAUUUCUCCUUUGUUGUGGUGUGAAGCUCUGCUUCCUCCUUGUUUCCCCCCGCCCUAUUCCUAAUUGCUGUCUGUCAAGUUCCAGCUAGGGCAUCGUGUGAUUGGCAGAAGUUCAAAAGAUGCCUUUCAGACCUGGAGUCAUUGGCCUGUCCAGGUGUCAUUGUCCCCUGAAACCCUCCCCCUCCCACCUGGUUGGUGACUCACCUAUCCUCUCCCUCCCACCUCCCGGUGAGUUUAAAAGGUGCUGGAAACAUGCGGUCGGAGUCUGUCGGAGCUGUACUGAGAUUCAGAACUGUGUCACCUUGGAAUAAACUCUGGAUUUUACCCUCUGGCAGAA